rnacentral:rRNA from 1 species
CGGGUGAGUAACGCGUGGUAACCGUGCCUCAUACAGGGGGAUAACAGUUAGAAAUGACUGCUAAUACCGCAUAAGCGCACAAAACCGCAUGGUUUGGUGUGAAAAACUGAGGUGGUAUGAGAUGGACCCGCGUCUGAUUAGCUAGUUGGAGAGGUAACGGCUCACCAAGGCAACGAUCAGUAGCCGACCUGAGAGGGUGACCGGCCACAUUGGGACUGAGACACGGCCCAAACUCCUACGGAAGGCAGCAG